AGAGUUUGAUCCUGGCUCAGAUUGAACGCUGGCGGCAUGCCUAACACAUGCAAGUCGAACGGGUUGUAGCAAUACAACUAGUGGCGGACGGGUGAGGAAUACAUAGGAAUUUGCCUUUAGGUGGGGGAUAGCCCGGGGAAACUCGGAGUAAUACCGCAUGAUGUCGCAAGACCAAAGUCGGGGAUCGCAAGACCUGGCGCCUUUAGAGAAGCCUAUGUCUGAUUAGCUAGUUGGUAGGGUAAUGGCCUACCAAGGCGACGAUCAGUAACUGGUCUGAGAGGACGAUCAGUCACACCGGAACUGAGACACGGUCCGGACUCCUACGGGAGGCAGCAGUGGGGAAUAUUGGACAAUGGGCGAAAGCCUGAUCCAGCAAUGCCGCGUGUGUGAAGAAGGCCUUCGGGUUGUAAAGCACUUUAGGUCGGGAAGAAAGCGCUUUGGCUAACAUCCAAAGCUUUGACGGUACCGGCGAAAUAAGCACCGGCUAACUCUGUGCCAGCAGCCGCGGUAAUACAGAGGGUGCUAGCGUUAAUCGGAUUUACUGGGCGUAAAGCGUGUGUAGGCGGUUUGUUAAGUCGGAUGUGAAAGCCCUGGGCUCAACCUAGGAAUUGCAUUCGAUACUGGCAAGCUAGAGUACGGUAGAGGGUGGCGGAAUUCCGGGUGUAGCGGUGAAAUGCGUAGAUAUCCGGAGGAACACCGAUGGCGAAGGCAACCACCUGGGCCUGUACUGACGCUGAGACACGAAAGCGUGGGGAGCAAACAGGAUUAGAUACCCUGGUAGUCCACGCCGUAAACGAUGAGAACUUGACGUCGGUUUGCUCUGCGAAUCGGUGUCGUAGCUAACGCGCUAAGUUCUCCGGCCUGGGGGAGUACGGGCGCAAGGUUGAAACUCAAAGGAAUUGACG
rnacentral:rRNA from 1 species